CAAUCUCCAUUAACUUAUUCUGCACAGCGUUUUCCUCUCCUACGUCUCUCCUUUUCUUCUCUUUGAUCCAGAUCUCUUUCUAUUCGCUUUUCAUCCAUGUCCUCUUCCUCAGGAUCUGUUAGAUCGCUACACGAUCUAUCUAUUGAUACCAGAUAUAGCCUCGGUAUUUCCUGAAGGUUUAUAAUCAGCCUCGGUUUUAUGGAUGAUUAUGCACCUCUUGAUCUCCUGAGCCUUCGAUUCAGAUCUUUGAUCUUAAAUUGGGAGAUAUGGUUGAGAGGAUGAGAGGCUGUUGAAGAGCAAUAUGANAUAU